rnacentral:rRNA from 1 species
AUUCCAGCUCCAAUAGCGUAUAUUAAAGUUGUUGCAGUUAAAAAGCUCGUAGUUGGAUUUGUGGCGGCAUCUGCGGUCCGAAUUGUUUUGGUACUGCGUGGUGUUGCCAUCUUUGGGUGGAACCUGUGGGGCAUUAGGUUGUUUUGCAGGGGAUAUCCAUCGUUUACUGUGAAAAAAUUAGAGUGUUCAAAGCAGGCUUACGCCGAUGAAUAUACUAGCAUGGAAUAAUGAAAUAGGACUUUGGUACUAUUUUGUUGGUUUGCGCACCAAAGUAAUGAUUAAUAGGGACAGUUGGGGGUAUUCGUAUUCCAUUGUCAGAGGUGAAAUUCUUGGAUUUUUGGAAGACGAACUACUGCGAAAGCAUUUACCAAGGAUGUU